GGGCCCUUAGCUCAGCUGGUUAGAGCAUCAGACUCAUAAUCUGAGGGUCGCUGGAUCGUUCCCAGCAGGGCCCAC
rnacentral:tRNA from 1 species